rnacentral:lncRNA from 12 species
GGGGGCGGAGGGCUUGUUUUAAACAAAGUUGUUGCAACAUGCCCCAGCAGGAAGAGCAGUGUGGGAAACGCUCUUCUGCUUUGAUCCUCGGCUGCUCCUCGCAGAAGGAGCCGGUAUAAUUACGCCGUUGGUCCUCCAGGAUGGGUGGUAUGGGGGAUCUGCCCUUCUGUAAACACUAAUGUCUCCACGCCUGACUCCAUUCCAGCGAGCCCCGCUCCGCUCCGUGUUUUCGGCUCCGCCGCAGCUGACUGGCAGUACUUGUUUACUGGUGGAGGUACACAGAGAGAGAAACCAUACCGCCGACAGCACGAGAGAAGUUUUUUCCCACUUUCAGCCCAUUCCCACGCCAAUGAGUUCAUCGAAACCGCACACCGGGGUCUUGUGGACGGUACUGAGUGGUUUUAAGGGCAGGCCGGAAACGCGUUGGACGCUGGUCUGUUGAUUAACGUGGAAGAUUAAAACGCAACGCGGCCGUGACGCGCGCGCGCACGCACGCUCGCUCACACACUUCGGUAGCAUUGUGCUUCUGGAAGCAAAGGCUUUAAGGGAAUAUCCAGAUUUUUAAGGGGCUCUGAACGCUUUGGAUUUACACAAACGUGUGUGGAUGUUUAAUAUUAGGGGACGGUGAUUUUUUUAGACAGUAAAAUAGCAAAAAAUAUUUUUUUGUGUGUGUGUAUGUGUAUAUGGAGAUGAGGAGAUGCCCAUUUUUUUCUGAUAGGAAUAUUUGGCAGUGCAUGAAGCGACCUGUGGAAUAACGCUUUUUAUUUUUUGCUUUUUCCCUUCAGAGACGUCCAAAUCAGGCAUAUUAUUGGAUUUUUUUGACUAUUGGGAAGCUUUUCUGUGAACAUCUGAGAUAUUUUUGUUUUUAAAGCAACCUGGGGUGCCAUAUUAGUACUACUGUUUUUCUUUUUAACAUUGCAUGCAUUUUCAAGCUUUAACAUGGGUGUGAAAAAGUUGCAAUGUACUGUACCCUUAAGGGUCCCUCAGCCCUAGAAGUGUGGGAUUGACUCCAUGGAAGAAAUGCAUGGACGUUUUUCAUGCUUGGUCUAUUGAACGCAAAGAUGAAUCCGAAAAGUCGUUCAAAAUGAUUUUUAUUCAUUUAUUUUUCACUAGGGUGCAGGAUCAUUUUAUUUAACGCUGAUUUUUCUCAUGCUGCGUAGGCAACAACUACUUAAAUUUAACAUUAUCUUUAACUGAAGCACGCUGGACCCCUGGGUCCCCUUCUUGGGGGGUCUCUUUUAAGUUGUCCCUGACAUUUUUCGGCCUGGAUAUAAGCUAAUCAAGGUUUUAUUGUCUUUUAUCGCUCGGCAGCGGUUUUUUGGACACACCGGAGGUGGAUUUUAUUUUCCAAGAAAACU